AUUGAACGCUGGCGGCAGGCUUAACACAUGCAAGUCGAGCGUGGUGAUGGUGCUUGCACUAUCACUUAGCGGCGGACGGGUGAGUAAUGCGUAGGAAUCUGCCUAUUAGUGGGGGAUAACAUAUCGAAAGGGAUGCUAAUACCGCAUACGUCCUACGGGAGAAAGCAGGGGAUCACUGGUGCCCUCGCGCUAAGAUAUGAGCCGAAGUCGGAUUAGCUUGUUGGUGGGGGAAAGGCCUACCAAGGCGAAGAUCUGGAGCGGGUCUGAGAGGAUGAUACGCCACACUGGGACUGAGACACGGGCCAGGCUCCUACGGGAGGCAGCAGUGGGGAAUAUUGGACAAUGGGGGGAACCCUGAUCCAGCCAUGCCGGGUGUGUGAAGAAGGCCUUAUGGUUGUAAAGCACUUUAAGCGAGGAGGAGGCUCUUUUGGUUAAUACCCAAGAUGAGUGGACGUUACUCGCAGAAUAAGCACCGGCUAACUCUGUGCCAGCCGCCGCAGUAA
rnacentral:rRNA from 1 species